AGAGUUUGAUCCUGGCUCAGAAUGAACGCUGGCGGCGUGCUCAACACAUGCAAGUCGAACGGUAACAGGAGGAAGCUUGCUUUCUUGCUGACGAGUGGCGCACGGGUGAGUAAUGCAUAGGUAACGUGCCCCUUAGUCUGGGAUAGCCACUGGAAACGGUGAUUAAUACUAGAUACGCCUUCUCUCUUGAUGAAAGUUGUGAAAGUUUUUCGCUAAGGGAUCGGCCUAUGUUGUAUCAGGUAGUUGGUGAGGUAAUGGCUCACCAAGCCUAUGACACAUAGCGGGUCUGAGAGGAUGAUCCGCCACACUGGUACUGAGACACGGACCAGACUCCUACGGGAGGCAGCAGUGGGGAAUAUUGCACAAUGGACGAAAGUCUGACGCAGCAACGCCGCGUGGAGGAUGACACAUUUCGGUGCGUAAACUCCUUUUAUAUGAGAAGAUAAUGACGGUAUCAUAUGAAUAAGCACCGGCUAACUCCGUGCCAGCAGCCGCGGUAAUACGGAGGGUGCAAGCGUUAUUCGGAAUCACUGGGCGUAAAGGGUGCGUAGGCGGUUUGGAAAGUCAGAUGUGAAAGCCUACAGCUUAACUGUAGAACUGCAUUUGAAACUUCCAGACUAGAAUACUGAAGGGCAGAUGGAAUUAGUGGUGUAGGGGUAAAAUCCGUAGAGAUCACUAGGAAUACCGAAAGCGAAAGCGAUCUGCUGGGAAGUUAUUGACGCUGAGGCACGAAAGCGUGGGGAGCAAACGGGAUUAGAUACCCCGGUAGUCCACGCCCUAAACGAUGAAUGCUAGUCGUCGGAAAGCUCGUCUUUUCGGUGAUGCAGUUAACACAUUAAGCAUUCCGCCUGGGGAGUACGGUCGCAAGAUUAAAACUCAAAGGAAUAGACGGGGACCCGCACAAGUGGUGGAGCAUGUGGUUUAAUUCGAAGAUACGCGAAGAACCUUACCUAGCCUUGACAUUGAUAGAAUCUGGUAGAGAUACCGGAGUGCCUGCUUGCAGGAGCUUGAAAACAGGUGCUGCACGGCUGUCGUCAGCUCGUGUCGUGAGAUGUUGGGUUAAGUCCCGCAACGAGCGCAACCCUCGUCGUUAGUUGCUAACAGUUCGGCUGAGCACUCUAGCGAGACUGCCUUCGCAAGGAGGAGGAAGGUGAGGACGACGUCAAGUCAUCAUGGCCCUUAUGGCUAGGGCUACACACGUGCUACAAUGGGGCGUACAGAGAGUUGCGAUACCGCGAGGUGGAGCUAAUCUCACAAAGCGUCUCUCAGUUCGGAUUGUUCUCUGCAACUCGAGAACAUGAAGCUGGAAUCACUAGUAAUCGUAGAUCAGCAAUGCUACGGUGAAUACGUUCCCGGGUCUUGUACUCACCGCCCGUCACACCAUGGGAGUUGAUUUCACCCGAAAUCGGGAAGCGAACCUUCGGGACGCUACCGCUUACGGUGGAAUUAGCGACUGGGGUGAAGUCGUAACAAGGUA
rnacentral:rRNA from 1 species